rnacentral:lncRNA from 1 species
CUUUGCCCGGGCACUCGCCGAGCGGGUUACCUUGGCAGAGAAACUACAUCUCUAUCUCCCUGCCAUGGAGCUGGAUGAGGACAUGAGGGCACUUAUCCUGCCCCAGACAGCCACCACUCCUCCUCUGUGACCUCCCAGCACCGUCCAUGUAUGAUCACUGUCUUCCUGGUAAGGUCUGGGUUUGCUACUGAGUCAGACUUGGCUGUAACACCUGGUGGAAAAAAGGGAGGCACAGUGCUGGGGUGCUGUGCUGAGUCAGUGUGGGAAUGCUGGCCCUGCCCUCUGUGCAAGCAGAGCAAUAUAGUACUGGUGCUGCUGGGGACGUGAGCGUGUAGGCACAGCCUCAGUUGUUCAGCUCUGUGCUAACAGCAAAAAGCAAGUCCUACGCAAAAUAAACAGAUCUCAUCAUGGCAAAGUGCUUCAUAAAUGACUAACUGCCUUCUAGAGACUAAUACAGAAUCAAGCUGCUCCAGAGUACAGCAAGUUUUUAUUUUUCUCCCUUCUCCCUGUGGCACCUGUGGUUGUACUCUGAAGUGCACAGCUUCGUGUCAGUGACUAAUAAGUACAUAACAGUCACUGAAGGUUUCCGUGUCUUGCAUGACAGCACUACUGUUUAGGCACUCCGAGGAGGACCUAGGAACCAUACACCUGUCCCCAAAUGGAUCACUAGAUUAGAAGUGCUUUUUUCAGCACAUCAGACCUGUCAACACAGUAUGUUUCAAGUGCCAGUGGCAAC